rnacentral:lncRNA from 1 species
GAGCUAUGGUGCCUAGGACUCCCCCAUUGCUCUGACACCACGAGGAGACAAAACACAGGGCGGUACUUUUGACGCUGGCCCUGGAGUUGUGCAUCAUCGAUUGGGUAUUUUACGUGAAGCAAGUCCUGCUCUGAUACCAUUCUCUCACGGGCAUAGAGUCUCGCGCCGCACUGCGCCCGUGCGGCGCCCCGGGAGCCCUCCCGCUUACCUCCGAGGCAAGCCUCGCCAUCCCGUACCACACUGGUUUCGCCCUGCCAUGGGCUCAUCAGGAGAGCGCCCCAACUCUCGACCAGUUGUGCCCGAGCAGCACCCUACCCUGCCUGCAUGCAGACUUUGCAUAGGGUAAUGGUACCACUGGGGCAGAACGCCCUAAUCCGCUAAGCCGCCUCAACCCACGCAGGUUGAAACGCAGCUAGGUACGCAUCUUUGAUGUUGGCUUACACGGCUACGGAAUUUGUCCGUAACAUCCUCCCCCACUCAAAACCAGGCGCGUCCUCGUGCCGAGGGAAGUCGACUCGCCCUUGGACCGUCCUUGCUUUACGCCCCACUUCGACUCACUCCUCUAGCUUUAUGUAGCCAUGCUUGCCCCCGAAUGAACGCUCCCAUACCCGACUCGGUGCCUGAGGACUGCGCCAUUGGUUUGACACCGGAUGAAGGAACGAUGCCUAGGGCUCCGCCAUUGCUCGGACAUCACGAGGAGCUAUGGUGCCUAGGACUCCCCCAUUGCUUUGACACCACGAGGAGACAAAACACAGGGCGAUACUUUUGACGCUGGCCCUGGAGUUGUGCAUCAUCGAGUGAACUGCUGGGCAUUGAUGUAAAGCAAGUCUGCUCUGAUACCACUCUGUCACGGGCAUAGAGUCUCGCGCAGCACUGCGCCCGUGCGGCGCCCCGGGAGCCCUCCCGCUUGGCUCCGAGGCAAGCCUCGCCAUACCGUACCACACUGGUUUCGCCCUGCUAUGGGCUCAUCAGGAGAGCGGCCCAGCUCUUGACCAGUUGUGCCCGAGCAGCACACUACCCUGCCUGCAUGCAAACUUUGCAUAGGGUAAUGGUACCACUGGGGCAGAACGCCCUAACCCGCUAAGCCGCCUCAACCCACGCAGGUUGAAACGCAGCUAGGUACGCAUCUUUGAUGUUGGCCUACACGGUUACGGAAUUUGUCCGUAA